rnacentral:rRNA from 1 species
UACAGAGGGUGCGAGCGUUAAUCGGAAUGACUGGGCGUAAAGGGCGCGUAGGUGGUUACUUAAGUGAGAUGUGAAAUCCCUGGGCUUAACCUAGGAACUGCAUUUCAUACUGGGAGACUGGAGUAUGGGAGAGGGCAGUGGAAUUUCCGGUGUAGCGGUGAAAUGCGUAGAUAUCGGAAAGAACACCAGUGGCGAAGGCGACUGCCUGGCCUGAUACUGACACUGAGGCGCGAAAGCGUGGGGAGCAAACAGGAUUAGAAACCCGUGUAGU